AAGAUCUUCGGAUCUUUGAGAGCGGCGCACGGGUGCGGAACACGUGUGCAACCUACCUUUAUCUGGGGGAUAGCCUUUCGAAAGGAAGAUUAAUACCCCAUAAUAUAUUUGAUGGCAUCAUUAGAUAUUGAAAACUCCGGUGGAUAGAGAUGGGCACGCGCAAGAUUAGAUAGUUGGUGAGGUAACGGCUCACCAAGUCAAUGAUCUUUAGGGGGCCUGAGAGGGUGAUCCCCCACACUGGUACUGAGACACGGACCAGACUCCUACGGGAGGCAGCAGUGAGGAAUAUUGGACAAUGGGUGAGAGCCUGAUCCAGCCAUCCCGCGUGAAGGACGACGGCCCUAUGGGUUGUAAACUUCUUUUAUACUGGGAUAAACCUACUUACGUGUAAGUAGCUGAAGGUACAGUAUGAAUAAGCACCGGCUAACUCCGUGCCAGCAGCCGCGGUAAUACGGAGGGUGCAAGCGUUAUCCGGAUUUAUUGGGUUUAAAGGGUCCGUAGGCGGACUCGUAAGUCAGUGGUGAAAUCUCAUAGCUUAACUAUGAAACUGCCAUUGAUACUGCGGGUCUUGAGUAAAGUAGAAGUGGCUGGAAUAAGUAGUGUAGCGGUGAAAUGCAUAGAUAUUACUUAGAACACCAAUUGCGAAGGCAGGUCACUAUGUUUUAACUGACGCUGAUGGACGAAAGCGU
rnacentral:rRNA from 1 species